AGAGUUUGAUCCUGGCUCAGGACGAACGCUGGCGGCGCGCCUAACACAUGCAAGUCGAACGGAGCUGAGAGGAGCUUGCUUUUCUUAGCUUAGUGGCGAACGGGUGAGUAACGCGUGAGUAACCUGCCCUGGAGUGGGGGACAACAGUUGGAAACGACUGCUAAUACCGCAUAAGCCCACGGCCCGGCAUCGGGCUGAGGGAAAAGGAUUUAUUCGCUUCAGGAUGGACUCGCGUCCAAUUAGCUAGUUGGUGAGGUAACGGCCCACCAAGGCGACGAUUGGUAGCCGGACUGAGAGGUUGAACGGCCACAUUGGGACUGAGACACGGCCCAGACUCCUACGGGAGGCAGCAGUGGGGGAUAUUGCACAAUGGGGGAAACCCUGAUGCAGCGACGCCGCGUGGAGGAAGAAGGUCUUCGGAUUGUAAACUCCUGUUGUUGAGGAAGAUAAUGACGGUACUCAACAAGGAAGUGACGGCUAACUACGUGCCAGCAGCCGCGGUAAAACGUAGGUCACAAGCGUUGUCCGGAAUUACUGGGUGUAAAGGGAGCGCAGGCGGGAAGACAAGUUGGAAGUGAAAUCCAUGGGCUCAACCCAUGAACUGCUUUCAAAACUGUUUUUCUUGAGUAGUGCAGAGGUAGGCGGAAUUCCCGGUGUAGCGGUGGAAUGCGUAGAUAUCGGGAGGAACACCAGUGGCGAAGGCGGCCUACUGGGCACCAACUGACGCUGAGGCUCGAAAGUGUGGGUAGCAAACAGGAUUAGAUACCCUGGUAGUCCACACCGUAAACGAUGAUUACUAGGUGUUGGAGGAUUGACCCCUUCAGUGCCGCAGUUAACACAAUAAGUAAUCCACCUGGGGAGUACGACCGCAAGGUUGAAACUCAAAGGAAUUGACGGGGGCCCGCACAAGCAGUGGAGUAUGUGGUUUAAUUCGA
rnacentral:rRNA from 1 species